CACCAGGGAAUCGGGCGACAGCGUGGGCGGAGAGGCUCGCAGCAAGGUGGAGCCGCCGCCCGAGACGAUAAACGGAGCUCUUCGCGCAGUAGCACGACGCGCAGCCACCGGCACCCGACAGAACCGAGCGGGCGAGCCGGCAUCGUUUUCGCGUGGCGCGGCGGCGGCGACGGCGGCAGCAGCAGCAGCAGCAACAAAGCGAGAGCGGGCCGGGAGCGCGGGCAGCAUGAAAGGGCCGUCGGUCGGGCCGGCGUCGGAGGUGAUCCGCGAGGGCGAGCUGGAGAAGCGCAGCGACAGCCUCUUCCAGCUGUGGAAGAAGAAGCAGGUGGUGCUGAGCAAGGAGAGCCUGAGCCUCUUCUCGCCCGAGGGCGGCGGCAAGGCCCGCGCCAAGGAGCUGCGCUUCGGCUCCAUCCAGAAGGUGGACUGCGUGGAGCGCACCGGCAAGUACGUCUACUUCACCAUCGUCACCACGGACCGCAAGGAGAUCGACUUUCGGUGCCCGGGCGAGAGCUGCUGGAACGCCUCCAUCACCAUGGCGCUCAUCGACUUCCAGAACAAGCGCGCCAUCCAGGACUUCAAGAGCCGGCAGGAGGCCGUCGAGCAGGCGGCGGCGGGCAGUCGGGACCGGCGUUUGGCUCGGGCGCCCUGAGCCCCGCGCCCGGCCAGUCCCGCGCGGACCAGCCUAGCCGAGGUGAGAGGACGUAGAUGAUUCCCAAGGGCUGCGGACGAGCGUCCGGAAGAGAUUCAAGAGAGCAUGACCAUGGAACACAAACAAGAUUUAAUAACUUGGAUUGUGAUUGGAUUGUGCUGGUGCAGGAAAUUAAUGAAGAAAAGCAAAGAAGGAGGAUGGAAGUUGCUAGGUUUCUUCAGAUCGAAUGAAGCUGCUGAAUUGAAUAGUUGAACUUUCACCAAAAAGCACUUGCAAACCAAAGACCCUUUGAAAAACCAAAGCCUGGUUAACCAAGCAAGAGAUCCAGCUUGCGAAUUGCUAUUUUCUUUUCUAUUUAUAAGAUAGACAAUUCUGCACCAUUUGGUGGGGAAAAUACUUUUAAAUUAUUUGUAAUAACAAUUUUAUAUUUUUGAUUAAUGUUUUUAACAAUGCUUUUGUGUUCACAUGUCCAUUCCAGGUAAACUAUGUUCAUUUUAUCUUCAUUUCCCAAACAAGUUUCAUGGACAGAAAUUUUUGUAAUGCUCAAGAGUAUUCUGAUUUUGGAGUAGUCUGAUAAAUGCAGUACUUUACAGGCAUCUGAUCUCUGAGUAAUAUUAUCAUGUCUGGCUGAAAUUCUUUUCAAAUAGCAGCACAAAAAUAAUGUAAUUGUGAACAACUAAUUUUGGCUCCUUAAUGGCUAAAUAAAAUGUCACCUGAGUUCAAGGUA